AUAAUCACGCCAUAUCGCCUCAAGUUUCGCGGCAACCUCGUUCUUAUAUAAAGGCACCCGAGAUCCUAAUUCCGGCAUAACACAUUUUUUUGUAAAUCAUUACUUUGUCUACACUUUGCUUUCUAAAAAACCAACAAAAAACCAAAAAUGGGCGCUGAAAAGGUAUCCAUGAACAUCGUUGUCGUCGGACAAGUCGAAUCUGCCAAGGUCAUCAAGACCGUCGCCAAAGCUGCACCAAAAAUGAGCCCAUUGACAAAUUGUUAACUCUUGUAAUCCAUAAUAUAUAAAUUCAAAAAUGCCAUAGUCCAAACAGUACGUGUAUAUGAAUAUGUAUAAUAUGUAUUAACAUUUCAAAAUAUAUCAGGCUUUUCCGUUAUUUA
rnacentral:lncRNA from 1 species